CAGCCCACCCUGUAAGCAGGGCAGGGCUUUUCCCGCCCCCCAGCCCACCCUGUAAGCAGGGCAGGGCUUUUCCCCCUGGCACCUUUGUGCCUGCUUAUGGCCCCUGGCCAGAGUGACCCCCUGUAGCUGGGGCGUGUCACGGCCUUGAUCGCUGGGCCAGUUGUGAAGCCCCUCAGUGUGCUGAGGUCCCUCUGGCCUCUGCAGAGCCCGGGGCAGGGCUGAGGCUCUGCUCUCCUGCCCAGAGGGAGGGAUGGCUCCCCACGCGUUGGCUGCACAGAGCCUGCUCCCUCUUCUGGGACGUUCCCCCUUUGUGUUUUUGUGUUUGUCGGUGUGAGUGAGCAAGUGAGCUUGUGUUUUAUCCCCCGUAGCAAAAGUGAGGCUAGUGUAGCUUAGACUUCCCAGGAGGGAAAGAGGGGCUCUGUGCAGCAACCGGGGGGUGCCCUCUGAACCCACGGGUGGAGACAGGGCCCAGCCUUGCCCCUUCUUCCCCAGGACAGAGCGAAGCCCGUUAGUGGUGGUGCAGGCACCGUGACCCGCCUGUAGCCAGGGCCUGGGCGUGUGCCUGCGCUGCGGGGCUGCCUGUCCUGCUGGUGAUGUGCCAGCGUGAUCCCCACCCCCCCCCCCGGCCUUAGGCCGUCAGGCCACUGUUGGGAGUGCCGGGCCUCGGGGGCGGCCCUGUAAGUGGGGCUUUGUGCGUCCCCCGUGCCCGGCGGGCGGUUGGAGGGACCCUCUGUAACCAGGCGGGUGUCCCGUGGGGUCCCCACCCUUUCACAGGCGUGGGGCUGGGCGUGUGCCCUCCCUGUCCUCGGGGGAAGGCCGAGCUCCGUGGCUCCCUGGGUGUGAACCCGCCUGUAAGCAGGGUCCGGGUCUGGGAGCCUUUGUGCUCCCUCAGCUGGCAGCCUGUGCGGGGCGACCGCCCCGUUAGCGGGGAGCGGGUCAGGUGCCCCCGAAGCGGAGAGAAGGAGCCUCCGCGAGCCUUUGGGCCCAGGGCUGCCCUGUAAGUCGGGGCCAGUGCCCUGGAGUCCCGGGCACUUUGUGCUCCAAGCAGCGGCCGGAGCCCCCUGUAAGCAGGGGUGCAGCCUCUUUGGCCACUGCUUUGCCUGCCCAGCUGCCUUUGCCCAGAGGGCCCGGCUCCCAGCAGCGGAUGGGACUGCGUCGCUCUGAAGCCGUCGGAGAAGAAAGAAGAGACAGGACUGGAACUUCGAGGCAAGAGUGAAGAAGAGGAGCAGCGGGUGGGACUGCGCUAUGAGUCGCCGUAGGGAGUCCAAGUGAAGCUUGGAUAGUUUUGUGGAACUGGGGGAGCCUGUGGCUGGGUGGGGAAGGGCUUGGAGAUGUGCCUCCGGGGGCAUGGGGUCCGGGUUACCUUGGUAUGUAAUGUCCCUUUAAGGCUUCACUCUCAGUAGUGGUUGUAUUAGUCCCUAUGCAAAUCUAGCAGGUUUUGUGACACAGAAUUGCAGCGUAUAGAAGACUGAGAAAUGCAGAGCUCCGAAUCAUUUCACUUACGGCACUCUGUAAUGAGAUCUAAUCAACGUUUAACACCUCGGGGUGAAAUUUCCCCCUCCUUUCCGUAUAUGGGUUUUUGUUAUAAUCCCAGGACAGUCUCCAGUUUGUUGUUGUUAAACAAGUGAUGUCAUCCCCAACUGACUAAAAUGAUUGGAAGUGCUAGAAAUAAGUAUUACAGAAAAGGUUGAAACAGUGCUUUCAUGCUGAAAAUACCCAAGGCUUUGUUUUUAUAACAAAUACAUAAUCCUGCAAUGUAAAUACCAGGUGCCACCCAGCCACCACAUAGGUACUGACUGGCCACAGAAAGAUUUUUCACUCAAUAAAUAAUUGAGCGAACAUGGGCAAUUCCAUCCUGCAGUUUCUCACCUGUAAAGCGUAGGCUGCAACUAGUCAAAGUUAUUUGACAUCUAUGAAGAAAGGCUUGUAGACAAGAACAACAUAUUUUCUCUAAAUAUCUUCUAUACUACCUCUAUCCAGGCAAAACACAGUUCUGCAUUUACAAAAUACAGGGUGUUGAGGGUAAUGACUGCCAAGAAUUGCAGGGAGGACCUUACAAAGCUGUGUGGCUGGUCAAUAUCACAGUAGCUGAAAUUCACUCUGAAUAAAGAAAAGCUACAUGCACCAGAAAAAGUCUUAACUUCAAAUAUGCAUAAGGUUCUGAACUGACAAUUGUGGUUCAGCAAUAAGCAUAUAUGAUAGAUCCAAGAGAGAAUUAGGUCACUGCUCAUUAUCAAUUAAGGAAGCAAAUAAACUUUUUAAGAAUUUUUAGGAAGGAAGAGAAAUAAAACAGAACUAAGCACCGUGCCUUUGAAUAAAUGUAUGAUUCACCUAUGUUUUUAAUAAUUCUGCAGCUCUGGUUUCAUUUUAGGAGAAUAUGGUCAAACAGAAAAGACCAGUAAGGAUAAUGCACAUCAGUGCAAAGAACUGCAUAUGCAAGAACAUCUCAGCUUGGAAAAGAGAACUAAGAGAGAAUGCACAAGUCUAUCCACAAGCAGGUGGAAAAGAGUGAAAGGGCAUUGAUUCCCAUGGCAUCAGUUGUUCACCAAUUCUCAGAAAUAUAGGUGACAACAAACGAAAUCCAGCUAGGGAUGGAAAGUUUAAGCACUGGUGAGAAAACGCGAAACUCACUGCAAGGGCUGCGAGGGAUGUUUAGAGGUUACAAGGGAGGACUGGGAAAGUGCACAGAGAAGACAUUCUGUGGAGGUUACUACAAGAAAUAUCCAGCUCAGGAAAUACCCUGAGCUGAAAACUGUUGGAAAAUGAGAAGUAGAAGGGGUAGCAACAUACUGCCUUUUUCUGACUGGGCAACCACUGUCAGAAGCAGGAAACUGGACUAGAGGGACCUUAAGUUGACCCAAUAGGACAAUUCCUAUGUUGCUGGCUUUACCUCACAGCAUGCAGCUAUAGAUUUCCAAUAGCUCAGUGCAGGUAACAUAAAUCUAGAAACCAGGGUGGCUUCGAUGGUACGGACUGUCAUAUCUGUUCAUUCAACCCUGCGAUGCUUCUUAAGAGAGCCCUGACACAUAAACCCAUUGAGUGUCCCAUGCAAAUACAAACAUAUAUGUGUGUGUAUUGGGAUGAGCAUGGGAGGGGCUACCCACAACUUCACCACCAUGCAGAUAUCGUAAGUGAUCUAAUUCACUUCCAUUUACUCUUCUUGUUGUUGUGGAUUAACUUGAACAGAGAUAGGAAAUGGUUUCAGUGCAAACUGGAGUAUGACCAAGCAAGAACAAGAGAUUGUGAAGAAAAGAAAGUCUUCAGCAGCCCAGGCUGCCAUUUCUCAGUAAAAGCCACAGAACCCCUGGGACAAUCAUCCCCAGAACACGAAUUUAGUAUCAACAUGGCUUGCCAAAAAAGCAGAACUGCUGGCUUUUAGCAUGCACAGAGGUACAGUGCUCCAAGCCUCACUUCCAAAGUAUACAACUAACUUGUACCUAUAGAACCAAUAGUCUCAAGUCUCUCUUACCUCAUCAAACCAUGCACUGCAAGAAUGUCAUCUUACUGCAAAAAUUAUUUUUUGUAAGAUAUCCAUUUUUUAAAAUAAAAAUCUCCAUUAACAUUCACUUAUUUCCCUGGUUUAUUUUCUUCUUCCUAAGCCCUCCCUCCUUUGGAUAACUCUAAGGGCUGUAGAGUGAUUGUUAAAGCAAUUGUCAUUUCAAAAUUAACAUAUCUUCAUACAUAUGUUCACAGCUGCCUUGGAGUGCCUCACAAAUUUGCACAUCAUCUUUUUAUGUGGGCUAUGAUGCUCCAUAAGGAUAAAGAUGGUGAAAAAUUGCACAAGACUCCCUUGGGACUCCUUCUACUCCUGUGGACUGUGGAAUGAGAUAGGGAAGAAUUAUCACUGCCCUCUGAAGUGGCCAAAAACAUAUCUUUCAUGCAGUAGUAAACAAAGCCCUGUAAUUGCAGUAAGAUGACAAUGCUGGUAACUCUUAGAGAUGUCCCAAGCACUAAGCAUUGCAGGACUGCAUCCCACAUUUGCAUUGUCUUUGAUUCUUACUAUUUUCUACAGCUCAUUAAAACUUAACUUCAUAGAAGUCUGAAUAGAAGUCAUAUACAUGUUAAAAUACAGUAAUUUAUGUCUGCCUUACAAUGUUACAAUAAAAGCAUAUUUCAUCAA